GAUGAACGCUGGCGGCGUGCUUAACACAUGCAAGUCGAACGGAAAGGCCCAAGCUUGCUUGGGUACUCGAGUGGCGAACGGGUGAGUAACACGUGGGUGAUCUGCCCUGCACUUCGGGAUAAGCCUGGGAAACUGGGUCUAAUACAGGAUAGGACCUCAUUUUGGACGGUGUGGUGGAAAGUUUUUCGGUGUGGGGUGAGCUCGCGGCCUAUCAGCUUGUUGGUGGGGUAAUGGCCUACCAAGGCGUCGACGGGUAGCCGGCCUGAGAGGGUGUACGGCCACCUUGGGACUGAGGGACGGCCCAGACUCCUACGGGAGGGAGCAGGGGGGAAUAUUGCACGAUGGGCGCAAGCCGGGUGCAGCGACGCCGCGGGGGGGAUGACGGCCUUCGGGUUGUAGACUCCUUUCGCUAGGGACGAAGCGUUAUGUGACGGUACCUGGAGAAGAAGCACCGGCUAACUACGUG
rnacentral:rRNA from 1 species